GAUCAAUCUGAAGGCCUGUUUCCUAGAUGACACACUGGGGACACUUGUUUGUCCCUUACUCUUCCACCUGGGGGAAAGUCCCUGGACCUUGGGUAGAGAGUGCUGCAUGUAGCAUGUAGACUUCCCCUGCCUGUCACUGGUUGCCCACCAAGAAAUUGUAAGUAUAUGUAAUAAUAAUAACCAAGAGCUCAUGAAGUUGAGGAGCAGGGGAAGGGGUAGAGAGGGAGGGGUAGAAGUGAUGAAAUGAUGUCAACAUAGAGUACUCCGGUGUGAAAUUCAAAAUGUCACAAUGAAGCCCAUCAGUUUGUAU
rnacentral:lncRNA from 1 species